GAAUUGUAGGGGGGCUGCUCCUAGUACGAGAGGACCGGAGUGGACGCAUCACUGGUGUUCGGGUUGUCAUGCCAAUGGCACUGCCCGGUAGCUAAAUGCGGAAGAGAUAAGUGCUGAAAGCAUCUAAGCACGAAACUUGCCCCGAGAUGAGUUCUCCCUGAGACUUUAAGUCUCCUGAAGGAACGUUAAAGACGAUGACGUUGAUAGGCCGGGUGUGUAAGCGCAGCGAUGCGUUGAGCUAACCGGUACUAAUGAACCGUGAGGCUUAACCUUACAACGCCGAAG
rnacentral:rRNA from 1 species